rnacentral:rRNA from 1 species
CUUGCUAUCAGGCGUCGAGCGGCGGACGGGUGAGUAACGCGUAGGAACCUACCCAGUAGUUCGGGAUAGCCCAGAGAAAUUUGGAUUAAUACCGGAUACGCCCUACGGGGGAAAGGGGGCUUCGGCUCUCGCUAUUGGAUGGGCCUGCGUGAGAUUAGCUUGUUGGUGAGGUAAGAGCUCACCAAGGCAACGAUCUCUAGCUGGUCUGAGAGGAUGAUCAGCCACACUGGGACUGAGACACGGCCCAGACUCCUACGGGAGGCAGCAGUGGGGAAUAUUGCACAAUGGGCGCAAGCCUGAUGCAGCCAUGCCGCGUGUGUGAAGAAGGCUCUAGGGUUGUAAAGCACUUUCAGCAGCGAGGAAAGCUUGUUGGUUAAUACCCAUCAAGUGUGACGUU